rnacentral:rRNA from 1 species
AACACAUGCAAGUCGUGCGCAGGCUCGCUCCCUUUUGGGAGCGGGUGCUGAGCGGCAAACGGGUGAGUAACACGUGGGUAACCUACCCCCAGGAGGGGGAUAACCCCGGGAAACCGGGGCUAAUACCCCAUAAUGCCACCCGCCACUAAGGCGUGGUGGCCAAAGGGGGCCUCUGGCCUUUGGCCAUGCUCCCGCCUGGGGAUGGGCCCGCGGCCCAUCAGGUAGUUGGUGGGGUAACGGCCCACCAAGCCUAUGACGGGUAGCCGGCCUGAGAGGGUGGCCGGCCACAGCGGGACUGAGACACGGCCCGCACCCCUACGGGGGGCAGCAGUGGGGAAUCGUGGGCAAUGGGCGAAAGCCUGACCCCGCGACGCCGCGUGGGGGAAGAAGCCCUGCGGGGUGUAAACCCCUGUCGGGGGGGACGAAGCGGCUAUGGGUUAAUACCCCAUAGUCGUGACGGUACCCCCAGAGGAAGGGACGGCUAACUUACGUGGCCAGCAAGCCGCGGUAAUACGUAAGGUCCCGAGCGUUGCGCGAAGUCACUGGGCGUAAAGCGUCCGCAGCCGGUCGGGUAAGCGGGAUGUCAAAGCCCACGGCUCAACCGUGGAAUGGCAUCCCGAACUGCCCGACUUGAGGCACGCCCGGGCAGGCGGAAUUCCCGGGGUAGCGGUGAAAUGCGUAGAUCUCGGGAGGAACACCGAAGGGGAAGCCAGCCUGCUGGGGCUGUCCUGACGGUCAGGGACGAAAGCCGGGGGAGCAAACCGGAUUAGAUACCCGGGUAGUCCCGGCCGUAAACCAUGGGCGCUAGGGCUUGUCCCUUUGGGGCAGGCUCGCAGCUAACGCGUUAAGCGCCCCGCCUGGGGAGUACGGGCGCAAGCCUGAAACUCAAAGGAAUUGGCGGGGGCCCGCACAACCGGUGGAGCGUCUGGUUCAAUUCGAUGCUAACCGAAGAACCUUACCCGGGCUUGACAUGCUGGGGAGACUCCGCGAAAGCGGAGUUGUGGAAGUCCCUAGGACUUCCCCCCAGCACAGGUGGUGCAUGGCCGUCGUCAGCUCGUGUCGUGAGAUGUUGGGUUAAGUCCCGCAACGAGCGCAACCCU